UAAUAAGUGUUUUAUGGCACUUUUUAAAUCCAUAUCCACCUUGUGUGCAAUGUCAGUCGAUCUUCUUCAUGGAGAUCGACCAAACAUCAACCUUUAUUUCUUAACUCUUUGUCUGAAAAAUAUUAUGAAUAAACAAUUCAAAAUA
rnacentral:misc_RNA from 1 species